rnacentral:rRNA from 1 species
CCUACNGGGUGCACCAGUGGGGAAUAUUGGACAAUGGGCGCAAGCCUGAUCCAGCCAUGGCGCGUGAGUGAAGAAGGCCUUAGGGUUGUAAAGCUCUUUCACCGGUGANGAUAAUGACGGUNACCGGAGAAGAAGCCCCGGCUAACUUCGUGCCAGCAGCCGCGGUAAUACGAAGGGGGCUAGCGUUGUUCGGAAUUACUGGGCGUAAAGCGCGCGUAGGCGGAUAGAUAAGUCAGAGGUGAAAUCCCGGGGCUCAACCCCGGAAUUGCCUUUGAUACUGUUUAUCUUGAGUGCAGAAGAGGUAAGUGGAAUUCCGAGUGUAGAGGUGAAAUUCGUAGAUAUUCGGAGGAACACCAGUGGCGAAGGCGGCUUACUGGUCUGCAACUGACGCUGAGGCGCGAAAGCGUGGGGAGCAAACAGGAUUAGAUACCCGCGUAGUC